CCAGACUCCUACGGGAGGCAGCAGUGGGGAAUAUUGGGCAAUGGGCGCAAGCCUGACUCAGCAACGCCGCGUGAAGGAAGAAGGCUUUCGGGUUGUAAACUUCUUUUAAGAGGGACGAAACAAAUGACGGUACCUCUUGAAUAAGCCACGGCUAACUACGUGCCAGCAGCCGCGGUAAUACGUAGGUGGCAAGCGUUAUCCGGAUUUAUUGGGUGUAAAGGGCGUGUAGGCGGGAAAGCAAGUCAGAUGUGAAAACUAUGGGCUCAACCCAUAGCCUGCAUUUGAAACUGUUUUUCUUGAGUGCUGGAGAGGCAAUCGGAAUUCCGUGUGUAGCGGUGAAAUGCGUAGAUAUUAGGAGGAACACCAGUGGCGAAGGCGGCCUGCUGGACGACAACUGACGGUGAGGCGCGAAAGCGUGGGGAGCAAACAGGAUUAGAUACCCUUGUAA
rnacentral:rRNA from 1 species